rnacentral:rRNA from 1 species
UGGGGAAUAUUGCGCAAUGGGGGAAACCCUGACGCAGCGACGCCGCGUGCGGGAUGAAGGCCUUCGGGUUGUAAACCGCUUUUGAUUGGGAGCAAGCUUUCGGGUGAGUGUACCUUUCGAAUAAGCGCCGGCUAACUACGUGCCAGCAGCCGCGGUAAUACGUAGGUCCCGAGCGUUGUCCGGAUUUAUUGGGCGUAAAGCGAGCGCAGGCGGUCAAUUAAGUCUGAUGUGAAAGCCCCCGGCUCAACCGGGGAGGGUCAUUGGAAACUGGUUGACUUGAGUGCAGAAGAGGAGAGUGGAAUUCCAUGUGUAGCGGUGAAAUGCGUAGAUAUAUGGAGGAACACCAGUGGCGAAGGCGACUCUCUGGUCUGUAACUGACGCUGAGGCUCGAAAGCGUGUGGAGCGAACAGG